rnacentral:rRNA from 1 species
GAAACGGCGUCCCAGUUCGGAUUGCAGCCUGCAACUCGGCUGCAUGAAGCUGGAAUCGCUAGUAAUCGCGGAUCAGAAUGCCGCGGUGAAUACGUUCCCGGGUCUUGUACACACCGCCCGUCACACCAUGGGAGUCGGGAAUGCCCGAAGUCAGUGACCCCAACCGAAAGGGGGGAGCUGCCGAAGGCAGGCCUGGUAACUGGGGUGAAGUCGUAACAAGGUAAC